AUGCGAUUUGUGCCUCGUCUGCUUCCGCUAGCUCACCUCACACUGCCCCGAAACAGGGGGGAUGUUGCUCCGACGUUCGAAUUCACUGUGGAAUUCCUUCCUUCUAAGGUGAAGCUAGGUGAUGGUAGCAUGCGGGACAUAGAGAGAGAUACAAUUGUGAAGUGGGAGAUUGAUUUUGCAGAGAUUGAUCCACAAGAACUACAGAGCAUGGAAGAGAAGGCCGUGGAGAAUGUGGUGGAAAAAAUUGGGGAGAGCAUUUUUUCUGGUCCAGAGCAAAAGGUAGCAUUGUUACGGUUUGAUAAUUGGAAAGGAGAGUAUGUGAGAAUUGAGGAUGGUGAAGACAUGGUUGAUGAAAUCGAUCGACAAGAUGGCUGGACAACCAAACAAACUAUGUUUCAUGCAGAGCUUGUUGAUCUGAAAUCAGAUUCUAAGGUUGGAUAUGUGCCGUCAAAGUUAGCUUCACAGAUGGUAGAUGAUGAUUGGGCUUCAGAGAGGCAGAUAAUGUUGGGGAACGUAGUAUUUCAAAAAAAUUACCUACGAACACGCAAGAUCUAUCUAGGAGAAGCAUAG
rnacentral:rRNA from 1 species